CGGCGAUAUUACCCAAAGCGAUACCAUUAUUCAUCGUACUACAAGCGUCCAUAUUACCACACUAAAUACUACACACAAAAAUAUUACUGAGGGGCUGCAUUGCGGUGAGAAAAAGACGAUGAAGAGUUCAAUAUUUUGUAAAAUUGCUUCAAAUUAAAGAUCGAAACUUUUAA